rnacentral:lncRNA from 1 species
AUUCAAAAAAAUCUCAAAGAAAUUUCAAACAAAUAAUAAGAAUUCUUAAAGAAAUAUUAGAAGGAUUAUAAAUAUCACUCAAAUACAUCUCAAUUCAAUCUUAAUUUAAUUCUAGUUAAAAUCCUAUUGAACUUCAUUCAAACUUUAGGCCAAAACUAAUUGAAUUUUAAAUCCUAAUAAAAUCCUAAAUCCUAAAUCAAACCCUAAAAAAACCUUAAACCAAACUCCAACUGAAUCCUAAACCAAAUCCUAACCAAAUCCUAAAUCGAAUCCUAACCAAAUCCUAAUCCUAAUCCUAAAUCCUAAACUAAAUCCUAACCAAACCCUAAUCAAAUCCUAAAUCUUAAAUAAAAUCCUAACCAAACCCUAAACCCUAAUCAAAUCCUAAAUCUUAAAUAAAAUCCUAACUAAACCCUAAAUCCUAAAUCAAAUCCUAAUCAAACCUUAAAUCCUAAAUCAAAUCCUAAUCCAAAUCUCAAAUCCUAAACCAAACCCUAAACCCUAAAUAAAAUCCUAACCAAACUCUAAUCCAAAUCCUAAACCCUAAAUCAAAUCCUAAUCAAAUCCUAAAUCCUAAAUCAAAUCCUAAUCUAAAUCCUAAACUCUAAAUCAAACCCUAAUCAAAUCCUAAAUCCUAAAUAAAAUCUUAAUAAAAUCUUAAAUAAAAUCCUAAUCCAAACCCUAAAUCCUAAACCAAACCCUAAUCAAAUCCUAAACCCUAAAUCAAACUCUAAUCCAAAUCCUAAUAAUUCCUACAAUAGAUUUAAACCUUAAUAACUACUGAAUAAAUCGUUGUUCAUAA